CCUCCUUUUCUUGGCGGGGACCGGGCGUGCGAUCCCGGCCCCCGUUAUGUACGGAGGCAGAGGGAGAGGGCUUCGGCCCCCUUGGCGUCAUGUCUUCGGUGCCGGCGGCUUCCCGUCCGCCGGUCCUAUCCUCAGUCGCCGGGACACGG
rnacentral:snoRNA from 1 species